rnacentral:rRNA from 1 species
CAGCAGCCGCGGGAAUACGUAGGGUGCGAGCGUUAAUCGGAAUUACUGGGCGUAAAGCGAGCGCAGACGGUUAUUUAGGCAAGAUGUGAAAUCCCCGGGCUUAACCUGGGAGCUGCGUUCUGAACUGGAUAGCUAGAGUGUGUCAGAGGGGGGUAGAAUUCCACGUGUAGCAGUGAAAUGCGUAGAGAUGUGGAAGAAUACCGAUGGCGAAGGCAGCCCCCUGGGAUAACACUGACGUUCAUGCUCGAAAGCGUGGGUAGCAAACAGGAUUAGAUACCCCUGUAGUCCCUGUCUCUUAUAA